GAUGAACGCUAGCUACAGGCUUAACACAUGCAAGUCGAGGGGAAACGGCAUUGAGUGCUUGCACUCUUUGGACGUCGACCGGCGCACGGGUGAGUAACGCGUAUCCAACCUUCCCAUUACUGUGGGAUAACCUGCCGAAAGGCAGACUAAUACCGCAUAGUCUUCGAUGUCGGCAUCAGAUUUGUAGUAAAGAUUUAUCGGUAAUGGAUGGGGAUGCGUCUGAUUAGCUUGUUGGCGGGGUAACGGCCCACCAAGGCUACGAUCAGUAGGGGUUCUGAGAGGAAGGUCCCCCACAUUGGAACUGAGACACGGUCCAAACUCCUACGGGAGGCAGCAGUGAGGAAUAUUGGUCGAUGGACGGAAGUCUGAACCAGCCAAGUGGCGUGCAGGAUGACGGCCCUAUGGGUUGUAAACUGCUUUUGUAUGGGGAUAAAGUUAGGGACGUGUCCCUAUUUGCAGGUACCAUACGAAUAAGGACCGGCUAAUUCCGUG
rnacentral:rRNA from 1 species